GCGCCCGAGGUCAGUGGCUAAGACGCCUGCCUUCAAAAGCCCUCGUAGCCCUGGGGCACCUAAAAGCAGGAGGUGUGUGUUCGAAUCACACCGGUCGCC
rnacentral:tRNA from 1 species